rnacentral:rRNA from 1 species
GAGUUUGAUCCUGGCUCAGAAUGAACGCUGGCGGCGUGGAUAAGACAUGCAAGUCGAACGGAAACACUGAUUAGUUUACUAAGAUGUGUUUUAGUGGCGGACGGGUUAGUAACACGUGAGCAACCUACCUCGAAGCGGGGGAUAGCCUUCCGAAAGGAAGAUUAAUACCGCAUGUGACCUUCGGGUCAAAGACUGCUUCGGCAGUCACUUCGAGAUGGGCUCGCGGCCUAUCAGCUAGUUGGUGAGGUAAAGGCUCACCAAGGCAACGACGGGUAGCUGGUCUGAGAGGACGAUCAGCAACACUGGAACUGAGACACGGUCCAGACACCUACGGGUGGCAGCAGUCGAGAAUCAUUCACAAUGGGGGAAACCCUGAUGGUGCAACGCCGCGUGGAGGAUGAAGGCCCUAGGGUCGUAAACUCCUGUCAUGUGAGAGUAAGGCAUAUUAGGUUAAGAGCUAAAUAUGUUUGAUAGUAUCACAAGAGGAAGGGACGGCUAACUUCGUGCCAGCAGCCGCGGUAAUACGAAGGUCCCGAGCGUUAUUCGGAAUCACUGGGCGUAAAGAGUACGUAGGCGGUUUGGUAAGUCAGGUGUGAAAUCCCGGAGCUCAACUCCGGAACUGCAUCCGAUACUGCCAGACUUGAGUAAUGGAGGGGCAGGUGGAAUUCUCGGUGUAGCAGUGAAAUGCGUAGAUAUCGAGAGGAAGACCAAUGGCGAANGCAGCCUGCUGGACAUUUACUGA